rnacentral:rRNA from 1 species
UACGGAGGGUGCAAGCGUUAUCCGGAUUCACUGGGUUUAAAGGGAGCGUAGGUGGGCUGGUAAGUCAGUGGUGAAAUCUCCGGGCUUAACUCGGAAACUGCCGUUGAUACUAUCAGUCUUGAAUAUUGUGGAGGUAAGCGGAAUAUGUCAUGUAGCGGUGAAAUGCUUAGAUAUGACAUAGAACACCGAUAGCGAAGGCAGCUUGCUACACAAUUAUUGACACUGAGGCGCGAAAGCUAGGGGAGCGAACGGG